CCUACGGGUGGCAGCAGUGAGGAAUAUUGGUCAAUGGACGAGAGUCUGAACCAGCCAAGUAGCGUGAAGGAUGACUGCCCUAUGGGUUGUAAACUUCUUUUAUAUGGGAAUAAAAUGUUCCACGUGUGGGAUUUUGUAUGUACCAUAUGAAUAAGGAUCGGCUAACUCCGUGCCAGCAGCCGCGGUAAUACGGAGGAUACGAGCGUUAUCCGGAUUUAUUGGGUUUAAAGGGAGCGUAGGGGGAUUGUUAAGUCAGUUGUGAAAGUUUGCGGCGCAACCGUAAAAUUGCAGUUGAAACUGGCAGUCUUGAGUACAGUAGAGGUGGGCGGAAUUCGUGGUGUAGCGGUGAAAUGCUUAGAUAUCACGAAGAACUCCGAUUGCGAAGGCAGUUCACUGGACUGCAACUGACACUGAGGCUCGAAAGUGUGGGUAUCAAACAGGAUUAGAUACCCGAGUAGUC
rnacentral:rRNA from 1 species